GUAGGGAAUAUUGGACAAUGGGGGGAACCCUGAUCCAGCCAUGCCGCGUGGAGGAAGACUGCCCUCUGGGUUGUAAACUCCUUUUAUAUGGGAAGAACCGUCCUCAUUAAUGAGUGACCUGACGGUACCAUAGGAAUAAGCACCGGCUAACUCCGUGUCAGCAGCCGCGGUAAUACGGAGGGUGCAAGCGUUAUCCGGAUUCACUGGGUUUAAAGGGUGCGUAGGCGGAUAAAUAAGUCAGUGGGGAAAUCAACGGGCUCAACCUGUUAACUGCCAUUGAUACUGUGUAUCUUGAAUAUGAGAGAGGUAGGCGGAAUGUUGCAUGUAGCGGUGAAAUGCUUAGAUAUGCUACGGAACACCGAUUGCGAAGGCAGCUUACUAUUUCGUAAUUGACGCUGAGGCACGAAAGCGUGGGUAGCGAACAGGAUUAGAAACCCCUGUAGUCC
rnacentral:rRNA from 1 species